UUCAGGAAAUCUGCAACAGCUUCUUCUUUGUCACAGUCUACGUAGUCGGGACUCGAAAGCUUCACUUGCUGUUUACCAACAGAAAACAACGACUUUAGUGUGUGAGGCCAGCCGCAAUGAUUUCGGGAUCGUCGCAUAUCGACUCCACAAAGAAAACCUGAACCAGGGAGACGAUGGAAACUGUAGUUCUAUGUUUCUGACAGAUUUCUACGUUUUACAGCAGGAAAGCAAAUUAAAAACCAACUUUGUAACCAUUUUCUUUGCUGAAGUUGAGGAUGACCUCUCUGCGCUCCGGCGUCGUGUUGGUGGCAUCGAAAACCUGGCAGAACAAAAUCAGGACUUUUACCAAUAAUAAAUAUUGGUAAAUGUUUUCAAGCUCAACAUUAAUAAACAUUUAUCAUCCAUUAACCAGAA